CCACCACCCUCACCCCCAGAGACUUCCUAGGACCAAAUGUCCCCACUAUGGUCUUCUUCCCCUUGGCCACUCAGAGGUGACACCUUCCCUCACAGAGCACAGAGAUGCUAACAAUGGCAGCAAUAGCAGUAAUAAUAGAGCCUAGCGCCCCACACCUACGACUGGAGUCUCCACCAUGUGUCAGACACAAACUGUUGGCCCUGCUGCUGUUGUCCGUCCCCACUGUAUUCCUUCAGACUACGGUUUAGUGUCACUGUGAGGGGAAACUGCUCAGAGACGCCAAGUAGCUCCACGUCCUUCAACCUAACAAGGAAGCCUCUGAGCUGCACUUCGACCCUGUGUCUGCUUUUACCAAUAACCUGGUGGGGAAUGAUAUUUUAGGCAGAGCCAGAGAGAUGGAGAGGGAACACGUGAGAAACUUCCAGGAAGAUUGGAGAAUAAAUGGUCAGCACUGUCCUGGACAUCCUUUGCCUCAGUCAUGAGGGCCAGCCUAGUUUGCUGUUACAUUCCUGGCGUCUAGCACAUAGGAAAUCAAGAAAUGUGAAGUGAAGGAAGACAAUGGAUUCUCAAUAAAUUUGCUCUGGAUUGAUCUGAAAUUUAAAA